rnacentral:rRNA from 1 species
GGGCUCGCAGGCGGUUUCUUAAGUCUGAUGUGAAAGCCCCCGGCUCAACCGGGGAGGGUCAUUGGAAACUGGGGAACUUGAGUGCAGAAGAGGAGAGUGGAAUUCCACGUGUAGCGGUGAAAUGCGUAGAGAUGUGGAGGAACACCAGUGGCGAAGGCGACUCUCUGGUCUGUAACUGACGCUGAGGAGCGAAAGCGUGGGGAGCGAACAGGAUUAGAUACCCUGGUAGUCCACGCCGUAAACGAUGAGUGCUAAGUGUUAGGGGGUUUCCGCCCCUUAGUGCUGCAGCUAACGCAUUAAGCACUCCGCCUGGGGAGUACGGUCGCAAGACUGAAACUCAAAGGAAUUGACGGGGGCCCGCACAAGCGGUGGAGCAUGUGGUUUAAUUCGAAGCAACGCGAAGAACCUUACCAGGUCUUGACAUCCUCUGACAAUCCUAGAGAUAGGACGUCCCCUUCGGGGGCAGAGUGACAGGUGGUGCAUGGUUGUCGUCAGCUCGUGUCGUGAGAUGUUGGGUUAAGUCCCGCAACGAGCGCAACCCUUGAUCUUAGUUGCCAGCAUUCAGUUGGGCACUCUAAGGUGACUGCCGGUGACAAACCGGAGGAAGGUGGGGAUGACGUCAAAUCAUCAUGCCCCUUAUGAC